rnacentral:lncRNA from 1 species
AAAAGGAAAGUUUUGCUCAGCUGGUGCAAUUAUUUCGUCUUUAACAGGAGGAAUACAAAAACUUGGAUGAUGUCGCAACUCUGAAAAUCUGUCACCAUAAUUAUCAUGUGAGCUGUAUACGGAAAUGGUUAUCGAUCAAGAAUUUAUGCCCAAUCUGCAAGGCUUCUGCUUUGGAUGAGAGCGCGGAGGAGAAAUGAUGUACUCACAUUCUGUUAUAUUAUACCUGAUCUUCUUGUAAAUAUAUUUUAGACAUAAUCCUCGGAACGUAGGAAAUGGAUUCAAAUAGACAUUGUAGGCAAAUGCCAACUUGAUUUAUUUUUUGAUGGUGCCUUCAUUGUUUAGGAUCUUUGCUAGUGGUUCUACACGACUUGUUAGUAUCCCUUUGACCACUUUAUUUAUAUACAUUAUUGAAUGUGUCCACGCUCUAUAUAGAUUUCCAUAGUUUGGGCUGGAGAUAUUAGCAUGAACUAUGUAUAUAGAUUAUCGAAACUUUUUGUCUGCUCAUGUUUAUAUUCGCCUUGUUCCGGCAAGAAUUUUAUAUAACUACUAAAAAAGGAAAGUUUUGCUCAGCUGGUGCAAUUAUUUCGUCUUUAACAGGAGGAAUACAAAAACUUGGAUGAUGUCGCAACUCUGAAAAUCUGUCACCACAAUUAUCAUGUGAGCUGUAUACGGAAAUGGUUAUCGAUCAAGAAUUUAUGCCCAAUCUGCAAGGCUUCUGCUUUGGAUGAGAGCGCGGAGGAGAAAUGAUGUACUCACAUUCUGUUAUAUUAUACCCGAUCUUCUUGUAAAUAUAUUUUACAUAAUCCUCGGAACGUAGGAAAUGGAUUCAAAUAGACAUUGUAGGCAAAUGCCAACUUGAUUUAUUUUUUGAUGGUGCCUUCAUUGUUUAGGAUCUUUGCUAGUGGUUCUACACGACUUGUU